GACGAACGCUGGCGGCGUGCUUAACACAUGCAAGUCGAACGGAAAGGCCCUGCUUUUGUGGGGUGCUCGAGUGGCGAACGGGUGAGUAACACGUGAGUAACCUGCCCUUGACUUUGGGAUAACUCCAGGAAACUGGGGCUAAUACCGGAUAGGAGCUCCUGCUGCAUGGUGGGGGUUGGAAAGUUCCGGCGGUUGGGGAUGGACUCGCGGCUUAUCAGCUUGUUGGUGGGGUAGUGGCUUACCAAGGCUUUGACGGGUAGCCGGCCUGAGAGGGUGACCGGCCACAUUGGGACUGAGAUACGGCCCAGACUCGUACGGGAGGCAGCAGUGGGGAAUAUUGCACAAUGGGCGGAAGCCUGAUGCAGCAACGCCGCGUGCGGGAUGACGGCCUUCGGGUUGUAAACCGCUUUCGCCUGUGACGAAGCGUGAGUGACGGUAAUGGGUAAAGAAGCACCGGCUAACUACGUG
rnacentral:rRNA from 1 species